UGGGGAAUAUUGGACAAUGGGGGGAACCCUGAUCCAGCCAUGCCGCGUGUGUGAAGAAGGCCUUAUGGUUGUAAAGCACUUUAAGCGAGGAGGAGGGUACUGGUAUUAAUACUACCAGGUACUGGACGUUACUCGCAGAAUAAGCACCGGCUAACUCUGUGCCAGCAGCCGCGGUAAUACAGAGGGUGCGAGCGUUAAUCGGAUUUACUGGGCGUAAAGCGUGCGUAGGCGGCUAAUUGAGUCGGAUGUGAAAUCCCCGAGCUUAACUUGGGAAUUGCAUUCGAUACUGGUUAGCUAGAGUGUGGGAGAGGAUGGUAGAAUUCCAGGUGUAGCGGUGAAAUGCGUAGAGAUCUGGAGGAAUACCGAUUGCGAAGGCAGCCAUCUGGCCUAACACUGACGCUGAGGUACGAAAGCAUGGGGCGCAAACAGG
rnacentral:rRNA from 1 species